rnacentral:misc_RNA from 1 species
UUUCCGUUGGUGAACCAGCGGAAGGAUCAUUACAGAGAUCAUGCCCUCACGGGUAGACCUCCCACCCUGUUUAUAUACUAUUGUUGCUUUGGCGGGCCUGCCCUCGCGGCUGCCGGCGUAAGCUGGCUCGCGCCCGCCAGAGACCCCCAAACUCUGAAUAUUGUCGUCUGAGUAAUAUAUAAUAAGUUAAAACUUUCAACAACGGAUCUCUCGGUUCUGGCAUCGAUGAAGAACGCAGC